rnacentral:tRNA from 1 species
GUCCCUGUAGCACAAUGGAUAGCGCUUUGAACUUGUAAUCCAAAGGUCGUGGGUUCGAAUCCCUCCUGGGAUG